CUGCCCAGUAGUUCUGAGGCUUGGAAGAACUUGCAUGGUGCAAAGUCAGAAAGAAGCCCAGCGUGGCUAAAAUACAGUGAGCGAGGGCGGGGUGUCCUGAGAGGUGGGAUUGGAGAGGUAGGCAGGGGCCAGAUCAGGCAGGACCUUGAAGGGCUGGCCAAGGACUUUGAAUUUCAUUCUGAGUGCAAAAGCCUUCUUACCCAACAUGUCACAGCUCCUCUUCCCAGUUGGCAGUGGAGCGGAGGACCUCUGGGGACCUCCUGUAGGAGGCACCCUGCUGCCUGCAGUGGGCGGCCGACCCAGACCCUGCCUGCUCAGCUAGUGCUCUCACCAACCUUUGUUCUGUUGCUUUUUUAUUUCAGAGGUCGUGUUUUCAUCUUACCCUGGAUUUUCAACCUCAGAGGCAUGACUGAUGGAACCAUUGGCCACAUGAUUAAAUCAGUCUCCAGCCCCUCUUCUCUCGGCGAUGGCAGGCUGGCUCAGAUCCCGGAUCCUCUAACCCCAUGGUUGUCUUUCUGGGGUGGACAGCCCCCAUCCUAAGUCACUUCAUCAGCAGGAACUCAGACGACCAAGGUCUGUGCUCUUCCUCCGGUAUUCGAGAUUCUUCCCGUGAACUCGCUGAAGGCGAGGAACCAGACGCUGGCCCCGCCCUUCCCCGAGCUGAGGUGCCUUAGCCUGGCCUACAACAAGGUGACUCCCUGCCCUCGCCCUCUCUCCGCGGGGACGUAGACGGGCAGCUGGGGUGUGCGCCGCUCCGGCCCGAAAGCGGGCUCAGGAGUUCCGGGGUGCGGGUUCUCCGGGU
rnacentral:lncRNA from 1 species